rnacentral:lncRNA from 1 species
CAGAUAAGAAAACAAUUUCAAUAUAUUUACGAUAAGUGCUAUGCUGGAGGUAAAAAAGAAAUACAAUUUUAAUGUAUUAAUAUUUUUCCUUCUCCGAUUUAACCAGAGGCACCUGUUUGCCCCAGAGUAGGUUGUGAUCUUCGUAGUAGGAAUGUGACAAGAGAAAAAGAAGACGCUUUGCCCUUUGAGUGUAAAGACCAGCUCUGCACAUGAGAUGAGAGUCUUGAAAAAACAAUGCCUGAAUCUGGUGGCCUUGGACUCACAAGCAGGGUACAGGGUCAGAGGGGAGGUUCCCAUGAGGUAGGAAGAGGGUCCCUCCUCCAGGUCAAAACAGCAGCGGGAAGGCCAAGGUGAAUGUGGCUGCAGACCACAGGCUGCUGGGCGCUGGUUUCGAAGGCCAGUGUGGCCUGAGCCCUGGGCUAGAGCCUGCAAACCAGGUGGGACGGCUGUUCAGGGGACACAGGACAGGCAGCCAGGAACCAGCUCAGCCGCAUGCCUUAGAGGCAGGAGCCUGGCGCCUGUCUGGGACGGAGGAGGGAGAAGGAGCCCCCACUGGGAACCCAAACCUGGAUGUACCUGAACUCUUCUUGAUGUGUCUGAGUUAACUCAGAAGGGGUUUUUGAAGCCUGAAGCGACUGAGUUAGCUUUAAUUAGCAAGUUCGUGGUGUUUAAGGGCUUUUUCUUUUAUCUGCCCUUAGCAGGAGUGGGGGCUUGUGAGCAAGACAGCAUCAAUUAUAGAUCAUUUUCAGCUGCAUUUUGAAGCGCCUUUGCUUACAGCAGGCAGAUUUUAUCCCUUGAGGGAGGCGUGUGUGGGCUGCUGAGGAGCCAGAGGGCGGAAAAGGGGGUGUGGAGGGGGGCCACGGGCUGGCAUCUAGGGCAGUUACAGCAUGCCACACUCUGAAGGGCCCCGUACUUAGGGUUCUGACAUGCUUAAUAAUUUUGCCUUUGAAUUUGUGCUUUGAAAGUGAAGUCUGAUGGGACAGUGGAAGGCGGGGGGACUUGGGGGGCCCUGCCUCACACCACCUCCCAGGACUAGGGACAAGGCAGUUCUCAACCCACCUCUUCCCAGGCUCGCCCCCCACACCCCACAAGCCCGCUGCAGCCCUCAGCCCAGGCCAGCGACUGGGCGUUAGCGGGGUGGGGGGGGCGGUUGGCAGAGAGGAGUGUGUUGCUGGCACCCUCUGCUCCUGGCAGGGACCGUAGAGCAGAUGCAUGGCUGCUGUCCUGGCCCCAGGCUGGCUGGACCACGGCGUGUUGAGCAGGUGACUUUUAGGGGGCCUUCUCCAGGCACCAAAGCUGCAUUCCCUUGGGGUUCCCCAGCACCAUGAGGUGGGGUGGCAGGCCUGUGGGAAGGGAGAACUGGCUUCCUGCCCCCUGCCAGGCCACUGUGGUCCAGUAGCCAGUGGGAACAGGGCCCUGGAGGGCUCCACAGAUCUGCACCUUCCCUUUGAAUGUCCUCAUGCCCACGACAUUAAGUAGCAAAUGACAAACAUGACAGGCCUCAGAAAAAGGAAAAACAUGUGUACCUUAGCAUCUUUUAUUUCUUUUGUGGCCACAGCCAGAGCAUAUGGAAGUUCCCAGGCCAGGGAUUGAAUUCGAGCUAUAGCUGCGACCUACAGCACAGCACAGCUGCAGCAACGCCAGAUCCUUAACCCAGGAUGUACCAACACUGCCUUUAUCUGUGGAGGCACAGAGGAUGCAGAUGGAGUAGGGGGUGGGGUUAGGAUCUGAACUCAGACAGAAAAAAACAGUAGUAGAAUGAGAAAACAAAGGGCUUGGAAGAGCCCCUCCGGCCCCGCGGGUUAAGGAUAUGUUCUUGCCACAGACGUGGUGCAGGUCCACACUGUGGCACGAGUUCAAUUCCUGGCCCAGGAACUUCCACACGCCAUUGGUAUGGCCAAAAACAAAAACAAAAACAAAAAUUAAAAAAAAAAAAGGUGUCUCCCCGAAUACCUGAGAUGGCACAUGCUGGAAACUUGAAUGCAGUGGCCACACACACAUUUAACCUGCUGGAAAGGAUUUUACACACAAAGAGGAGACACUGACUCAGUGUGAUGGUGACCGUGCACCCAGUUUGGAGAGCUUCCGUGAGGUCGGGGGUCCCCUUGUGUUGGAGAAGGGCGGAGAGGGCGCUUGGGACAGAGGACAAUAGGGUGGGACUGGGAGAUGUCAGACAUUUGGUGGCGAAGAUACAUCUGAAAGCCUGAAUCAGGACCUUAGGAUUCCAAUGCAACAGAACCCACGGGAGCGGCCCGUGUCUCCACCACACGACACCCCCAGACCCCAGCUCUAAGACCAGUCACAGAAAGACAUCGUGCUAAACCUGGUUGGUUAAAAGCCAGGGUUGGAUUUUAAAUUUUUGCGGGGACCAUGCCCAAGGCGUUUGGAAGUUCCCAGGCCAGGAAUUGAACCUGCCUUAUAGAAGUUAUAAUGCCAGGUCCUUAACCCACUGAUCCACGAGAGAACUCCUAGAUUUAAAUGUUUAACAAAAACGUUAUGCACUUGGCUGUAGCUGAUUUAUUUGAAGGUUACCUUAAUUUCUUUCAGUCCAUGGGGGCCCAAUUCAAUUUUCAAGGUUGAUUACGUCCUCCCUCCCUCGCUGCGACAGCCACCGCACACAGCCCCCUCCUUCUUCUUCUGACCCCACGGCCCCUCCCUGCAUUUCUCCUCCGGUGGCACCUGGAGCCUUCCGUGUUUCUAUCCACCUGUGGUUUUUGACUGUUACAGCCUUUUCUAGGAACAGAUAAAGAUCUGCCCUACCCAGAAUCUGCAGCCUCCCCAGCCUGAAGCGUGCUGGGCCUGGGGGGUGGGGAGCCGUCCUAGUUUCACCACCUCCGGGCAAAAGCGGGCCUGGAGGAGGCCGGUGGGGCCCUUCCCAAGGCCUUGGCCACCCAUUCUCCACCAGAGUAGAGGUCACACUUUUAAGAAACUCUCUGUGGGGACUUCCCAUUGUGGCUCAGGGGUAACGAACCCAACUAGUAUCCAUGAGGACGAGGGUUCGAUCCCUGGCCUCUCUCAGUGGGUUAAGGAUCUGAGGUUGCCGUGAGCUGCGGUGUAGGUCGCAGACGAAGCUUGCUGUGGCUGUGGUGUAGGCCAGCAGCUGUAGCUCCGAUUUGACCCCUAGCCACCAAUGCAGGAUCUGAGCCACGUCUGUGACCUACACCACAGCUCAUGGCAACCCCAGAUCCUUAACCCACUGAGGGAGCCCAAGGAUCAAACCAACAACCUCAUGGUUCCUAGUCAGAUUUGCUCCCGUUGUGCCACAACGGGAACUCCUAAAUAUUCUUUUAAAACUUAGUUUUGGAGUUCCUGUGAUGGCUCAGCGAUAACGAAACUGACUAGUAUCCAUGAGGAUGUGGGUUCGAUCCCCGGCUUCGCUCAGUGGGUUAAGGAUCUAGGAUUACCAUGGUCCCUGGGAUCCCAGGAGCUUUACUGGCCUCCUGCCUCUGCCCUCUUGCCCUGAGGUUUAGCUCUCACCACGCCAGCUCGGGCAAGUCUUUAUUUAUUUAUGCGCCAUGCCCAUGGCAUGCAGAAAUUCCCAGGAAUUGAACCCAGGCCAUGGCAGUAAUCAGAGUCACAGCAGUGACAAUGCCAGAUCCUUAACCCACUGAGCCACCAGGGAACUCCAGGACAAUCCUUUUAAAACAUACACCCAAUCGUAGUUUUCUGCUCAAAAUCCUCCCACGAUUUUCUGCCUCCCCCAGAGUAAAAGCCAUCGUUCUCACGGUGACCAGCAAGGCGGCACAAAGCCCACCCUUUCCUCUCAGACUCCUCUCUGCUUCCUCCUUCAUCCACAGUAAUCCCUGUCCUCGCCGCCCAGGGACCCUUUGCUGAAAGGUGACGGGGUUUAUGCCUGUUGGUCAGGCGUGGUUACUAACAGCGCCCCUUUCACUCUCAGAGGCCCUGGGUCGGAUGAUGAGUUAGACAGCUGCGCGGGCCGCUCACCUGCCGUUGUGUUUCCCCUCCUUGGCCCGACCUGCCGCUGCCCGAUGGCACGGCUGCCUUCCCUCACCCGCUUAGGGUCUUUGCCCACCUGUCAUAUUCUGUGACCUUGCAAUUGACACGGCACACUCCCCCAAUGCCUGCUUCCAUCCUCCUGGAUCUGCUUUUCCUCCCGAGACGCUCUCACCGUACUGGGGCUUUUUAGGGCCGCACCUGCAGCAUAUGGAAGUUCCCAGGCUAGGAGUCGAAUCAGAGUUGCAGCUGCCUGCUUGUGCCACAGCGAUGCCAGAUCUGAGCCACAUCUGCGACCUACACCGCAGCUUGUGGCAACACCAUAUCCUUAACCCCCUGAGUGAGGCCAGGGAGUGAACCCACAUCCUCAUGUGGUGUCAGUCGGGUUCUUCACUUGCUGAGCCACAGCGGGAACUCCCUCAACAUACUGUGACUUUCCCCACUUGUUUAUUGUGUCUUCCCACCCAAGGCAGGCUCUGUGAGGGCAGGGACUUUUUUGGGGUUUUGUGUUUUGGGGCCACACCUGUGGCAUAUGGACAUUCCCAGCCUAGGGGUCUAAUCAGAGCUACAGCAGCCACACGGUAUCCAAGCCACACCUGCGACCUACACCACAGCUCUCGGCAACUCCCAAUCCCUAACCCAAUGAUCUGGGCCAGGGAUGGAACCCACAUCCUCAUGGGUAAUAGUCGCAUUUGUUUCUGCAGAGCGACAAUGGGAACUCCAGGGCAGGAACUUUUAACGUCUUGUUCCCUACUCUGUUCCUCAUACCUCAUACCCCAAACAGUGCUCAGCAUGUGGAGGUGCCCAAAGAGCAACCAGGUGACGGCAGAGGUGCCACUUUGGAUAAGGUGGUCUCAGAGGAGGCUUCUCUGAGGGGCUGUCCCUGAACUUAAGGUCUAUAUUGCUGCCUACUGCUGCUGUAAUAAAGCACUAUAAACAUAGCGGCUUAAAAUAACACAGAUUUAUUAUCUGACAGUUCUGGGGGUUAGGAGUCCAAUAUGCAUCUCACUGAGCUAAAACCAAAGUGCUGGCAGAGCUGCAUUCCUCUCUGGAGGCUUCAGGGGAGAAACAUCUUUGGCUUUUCCAGCUUCUGGGGGUCACCCACAUCCCGUGGCUCGUGGCACCUGCCUCCCUUUUCACGAUGUCACAUCUCUCUGUUCCGAAUUCUCUGCCUUUCUCGUCCCCAUUUAAGGACCCAGAUAACCAAGGGUAAUCUCAUUAAAUGAGCUGAUUAGCAAACAUAAUUCCAUCUGCAACCUUAACCCCCCUUGCAUGGAAUAUAAUAUAUUCACAGGUUCCCAGGAUUGGCACGUGGAUAUGUUGGGGAGGGGGGCAUUAGUCUGCCUCCCACAGUGGGGUGGUACUUUGACAGGGCGGUCAGGAAAGACCUUUCCAAAGAGUUGGGGUUGAAGGCAAGCUCUGAAGAGCAAGAAGGAGCCAACCAUGGGAAGAGUCAGAAGAGCUUUUCAGGCACAGGGAGUAGCAUGUGCAAAGGCCCUGUGGCAGGGAGGUGCUUGAGUAUCAAGAAGCAGAAGAUCGCCCAGAGAGGCUGCAGUAUAUAGAGCUGGGGGAGAGUGGUUCCAGGUGGGGCUGAGGAAGGAGUCAGGAAUCAGAUCGUGCAGAUGCUGUGGCGUUCUCUUCAGUCUAGGCCGCGUACGUGUCCUGUGCCAUUGGUUGUGUGUGUGAGGCAGGUGGAUUUUAAUUAUAUGUGAUUCUUGUGGGUUUGCUCUACGAAGCUGCUUCUGAGAUCUGACAGCAUAAAGCAGAUCAUUGCUCUUUGUUGAUAAUGCCACCUUUUCAGCUUGCUGAAUGGACUGAUUCACCCUUCAAAGAGAAGACAUUUAUUCUCUCACAGUUCUGAAAUCAAGGUGUCAGUUAGACCAGGCUCCCUCUGAAGCCUCCAGGGGAGAAUCCUACCUCAUCUCUUCCAGCUUCUGGUGAUUCCCAGAUAUGACGGACUGAGAAAGCCUGUGUCCCCCCAAAUUCAAAUGCUGAAGCCCUAACCCCCAAUGUGAUGGUAUUAGCAUAUGAGUCCUUUGGGAAGUAAUCAAGUUUAGAUGAGGUCAUGAGGCUGGAGCCCCCAUCAAAGGAUUAGUGCCCUUAUAAGAUGAAAAACAGGAGUUGCCGUCGUGGCUCAGUGGUUAAUGAAUCUGACUAGGAACCAUGAGGUUGUGGGUUCGAUCCCUGGCCUUGCUCAGUGGGUUAAGGAUCCGGCGUUGCCAUGAACUGUGGUGUAGGUUGCAGACGCGGCUCGGAUCCUGCAUUGCUGUGGCUCUGCACAGGCCAGCGGCUACAUCUCCAAUUGGACCCCCUAGCCACAGCUACCCUGAGCUGCCAGCUGCCUUCGGGCCUCAGUGCAAAGGAGGCUCCGGGCCGGCAGAGCUGAGGGACACUGGAGGCAGAAUACUGUUCUCCACCUUCCCCUGCUGAACCCUCACUGCAGCGUCCUGUGAAUCCGAUGGCCUUAGAACCCAAGGAGGCCACUGGCCAUACUCCAUUUGGAAAAGGAGGAAAUUGGGGCCCUGGAGGUUUACCGGACUUCCUCAAAGCCACAGCAGCAAAUACGUGAUACAAGGAACCCUCUGGAAUCACACCUUCACUUUCUUCCCAAUCUCCCACCAGCUGGUCUGUAAGAUGACAGCAGCUACACGUGGAGCUUGGCACAGCCAAGGUUCCCACCUCCAGCCAGGUCAUGUUCUAGAAAAUGUGCCAGCUACACCGGGCCACACAGGGCCACAGCUAAGGGAUGUGAGCUGUCAUUGCCCGUGGGGUGGGGAGACCUUACCAGAUGCUUAAGCCCUGUUGCACCCCUUCAAAUACGCUGCUGGCUCUGCCUCUGGCGCCCAGCCUCAGGCGCGUCCCAUCUUUUUGGCCUCCUAAACUUGCAAAUGCCCUGCGCGAUAAAUGCCCCCACGGGCAAAGCCCGGAUUUGCGCAGCAGGUGGACGCGGAACGCUCGGAGACCUAUAAUAGUCGGCGCUUUGCAACAAGCACUUUUUCUUCCUACUCAUUAUUGCCGCUUCAAGAGGAGAAGGGAGGAACCCUCUGGCACGGUUACAAAGAGACACUUGGACACCUGCCGCGGGAGGCCGCUCGGUCACCGGGAAAGACAAUGCAACGCAUUUUAAAUGUCUCUCCCAACCCCCAUCCCGCCCCGGUGCUCUGUCAAGCCAAGGCUCGGGAGCCCUUGGAGAAAUCACUUUACAAAGAAAGAAAGUGAGACUCCGUGUCUCUGGCCCCGCGGUGGGAGCCACGUGCGCCCCCUCGGUUCAGGCCCCACCCACGGUCCGUCGCCGCCGCCGCCCGAGGUCGCAGAGCCGGGGCCGCCCCUGCAGGCUCGCAGCGUUUGGGUGGACAGGACGCGCUCCCAAAACGCAGUUGUUCUCCGCGGUGGCUCAAGUCUCUUUGUUUUGAAGGAGCCUCUCGUCCCACGGGCCCGCCCUCCGUAGAGGAGGCCCCGGAUUGCAAAGUCCCGGAGCUCUGUUCGCUCUUCUGUCUCCACUGGACAGACCCUUAAGGCUCCGCGAACGUUUGGCGCACAGCAGAGGACACGGCCCAGUGGUGACUCCCGCUAAGGCCUGAUCCCUGCUCUGUCUCCAGCGUGAGGUUCCCAGGGGAACACCCAUUUCUUAGGCUUUAAAAAUUCCUCUUGUGGAAGUUCUCUUGUGUCAGCGAGUUAAGCAGCACAGGUUCAAUCCCUGGCCCAGGACCUUCCAUAUGCCUCGGGUUUGGUAAAAUAAUAAUAAUAAUAAUAAUAAUUCUUUCUUCUUGGAAAAAACUUAAAAGUCACCAAAAGGUCCAGCCAGCAGGAACUUGAGAUGGAGAGCUUGAAAUGACUUGCUCUGAACAUAAGGUUAAACCGGCAGAGGC